rnacentral:misc_RNA from 1 species
UCUCCGUAGGUGAACCUGCGGAGGGAUCAUUACUGAGUGAGGGUCUCCGGGCCCGACCUCCAACCCUUUUGUGAACCACCUCGUUGCUUCGGGGGCGACCCUGCCGUUUCGAUGGCGAGCGCCCCCGGAGGCCAUUAAACACUGCAUCAUUGCGUCGGAGUUAAAGUAAAUUAAACAAAACUUUCAACAACGGAUCUCUUGGUUCCAGCAUCGAUGAAGAACGCAGC